UCUCAGAGCAUACAGCACUUUCAGGUUUC
rnacentral:piRNA from 1 species